rnacentral:rRNA from 1 species
GACGAACGCUGGCGGCGUGCUUAACACAUGCAAGUCGAACGGAAAGGCCCUGCUUGCAGGGUACUCGAGUGGCGAACGGGUGAGUAACACGUGGGUGAUCUGCCCUGCACUUCGGGAUAAGCUUGGGAAACUGGGUCUAAUACCGGAUAGGAACCAUCUUUAGUGUGGUGGUUGGAAAGUUUUUUCGGUGUAGGAUGAGCUCGCGGCCUAUCAGCUUGUUGGUGGGGUAAUGGCCUACCAAGGCGGCGACGGGUAGCCGGCCUGAGAGGGUGUACGGCCACAGUGGGACUGAGAUACGGCCCAGACUCCGACGGGAGGCAGCAGGGGGGAAUAUUGCACAAUGGGCGCAAGCCUGAGGCAGCGACGCCGCGUGGGGGAUGAAGGCCUUCGGGUUGUAAACUCCUGUCGCUAGGGAAGAAGCUUUGUUGUGACGGUACCUAGAUAAGAAGCACCGGCUAACUACGUG